UAUUGAAUUACCUGAUGAUCUUGUUAAAAGGCAGAAUCAGAUUCAGUAGGUCUGAGUUGGGGGGUGAGAUUCUGCAUUUCUAACAAGUUCUUGGGUGCUGCUGUU
rnacentral:pre_miRNA from 1 species